AUGUGGGACCAGAUGCCUUCUGAGAGAACAAUGAGUUCUUUUGUGCUGCUUGGAUUCAUUUUCACCAUUUCUCUAACAUGGGCAACUGGACCGGAUGGAGCUGAUUAUCUACUUAUUUUUGCUGCAGGGCAGAAAAGCAUAAAUAUACCAUGUGCUUUACCUUCCAAAAACUCCUGUUCCUCCAUUAACUGGAGCAUGGGAGAUAGGCCUAUGUUUGGCACAGAGGUGGUGAAAGCUGGAAGAGUAAAAAUUGCAAAAGAUGGCAAGUACCGCAUACUGAAGGACUGCUCUUUGGAGAUUGCUCAUGUCCUACCAGGUGAUGCACAACUAUACACGUGCAGUGACGGUGUGGGUAAUGCAACCGCUUCCCUCCGGUUUCCUGAAGUUAAAGAGCACUCAGGAAGUGCAGAGAAGAGAUUGGAGCUUCAGUGUUACCUCAACACUCAUUCAGGUUUUAAAUCCUGCGGUAUCAACUCAAAUGUACACAUCAGUUGGACGACUCUGGACAACACACCUCUAAAAGGAGAAAGGUUUAGCGUCAAAAAUUCCUCUGCUUGUUUUUCAAAACUAUUUAUCACAAAAAAAACGACAGAUCAUCACAGAACGUGGAAAUGCCAGGUUGUCCAGAACGGCCAGGUCAAAGCCACCGCCAGUUAUACGUCCACGAUAGAAGGUGGUUUGGAAGAAGUGUUUGCUGCAGUGGGGGAGUCAGUGUCACUUCCAUGCAGCAGCAAUCUCUCUUUCAGUUCCACAAGCAACAUAAAGUGGACUGUAAAUGACAAGCCCCUGAUCAAUGCGUCACUCCAAAGCGCUCACAACACCUUUCAGAUCAACAAAGACUCAUCGUUGCUCAUCAAAAAAGUAGGUUCUCUUCAUGCUGGAAACUACCAGUGCUCAGAGUUCAGCAGUCCUCCAAAGGUGCUAAACAGAAUCAGGCUGCACACCCUUGAUGUUACAGAAGAGUUUGAGCCAGAGGACAAAAAUUUUAAUCUGACAUGUAUUCUCACCUGUGCCGAAAACUGUGAAGCAGAUUUUAAUUUAACGUGGUCUGAGAGAAACCAAGACGGCCUGCAGAGCAGACUAACCACUAGAAGGGGCACUGAUGACGUCAAAGAAAUGGCCCUCUGUUCACCCUCUGCAAACACUGGCCUGGUUAGGCCUUCCUCUGGGACUUGCAGUGUGCACGGCUGUAACAGUCUAUGUGUGCAUGAAGAGAAAGCAGAGGACGGAUGCAGCAGAGGAUUUGCCAACUGUUGAAAUGGGCCCUGUUUAUGAAAUUAUUCAGGAUGAGGAGCCACAGAGACAUUUCAAACGUGAAGCAGACCACACAACUUAUGACUUAUUACAGCCUGUGGACUAAGCCGAUCAUCUUCUGAUCUAUUGUGAAAAUGUUCCCAGUGGUCUUUUAAUUAUGAUUAUGCCGUUUUUAGCCAAAAUCCAAAAACCUGUGUCGUUUUCCAGGACAUAGUUUUUGCAGACCGACACGAGUUCAUUAGAAAUAUUUCUCUGAGUUGUGGGCGGGACCAUUGGUGCAGUAUAAGCCCACCCCCACUUCCCAUCAUCCGUCUGUUUACACUCUCUUCUGCCAACUUCCAGCCUCUCACAACUUCAAUCUGACAUUAUUGGUGCAACAAAAAUGGCGAGCAAUAUUGAAGCUAUCCAGCUGUUCAGUUUGGAGCCAGAUGCCACCUCAGGCGAGGAAAACGAAGGAUGCAUCAGAAUGAUGCCGAGCAGGAAGCUUGCUGUUGUAGGUGCUGCCUCACAGCUACAAGCUUUUGCCAAUGGGAUUUCUUUCCUGAUUUACAGCAAUUUGAAUAAAGAAAUAGUCAAUUUCAUGCUUACAUUUCUUUAUACAAGUCCUUCAUCAUCAGAAAAAUGCCACAAGAACAUGUUCAAAACCACAAAAACAACAUUUCCCAUCAUCCCAACAUCUAAUUUCACAAACAGGGAUUAAUACUCUUGUUACACAUGUGCAUUUUUAGGUAUUUAAACAUAAAGUAAAAGUAAAAAAGAAAAACCAGGGUUUUCCUCUGGAAUUGAAACUCUUCUAGUACUGAACUGCAACAAAGAAGAAAACUUUUUUUGAGUCGCAAAAAAAGAACACAGGGGUGAAUUUGAUUUUCUUUCAGCACAAACACUUACAGGUAGAAAUGUUUUCCUCCUCCAAGUAGUACAAAGAGUUGACUUUCUUUUCAUCAUCUGCGACAGAAACAUGGGUCUCUAAAGAUGUGAGGUUGUCCCCAAAGUAUUCAUACUAGUCUACCAUGCCCUUUUUGAAAGAGCAGUUAGUAUCAGUUGAUAACGACAGUAAAAAGCACUUACCCUGUACAUCUGGAAGACUCAUAUUCUCAUAGGUGUCCAUGUAAGCUUUAAGAAAACCAGAUAAACAUAGUUAGAUAGUUGCUUUUUGCAGCAUAUUGGUAUAUUAGAAAGAUUUUAUUUAUUUUUUUGAUAAAAAACCUGGAUAGGCUCUUGUCAAUUGGGUUGGUGACUUUUGGGUAUGAAAUUUGAAGUAGAUGAUCAGUGCUGUCAGUACAGCAAUAAUCAUUAUCACCACACUAACUACUGAAGCCACAACUGGAGUUGAGGUUGACGAGGGGACCUGCUGGGUGGCCUCCAAUGCUGAGAGAAGUGAGAGCAAAAGUUAGACAUCUCACAGGUAAAGACGUCUUAGUCGUGCAGUGUGUGAUGCAGAACAUGCAGACCUUGAUUGGUUGUUGCCAUGACGACUGCAGUGGUUGUGAUCACUAAACUAUCUGCUUGAUUAAACAAAGAAGUCUUUAAUCAAUAAAGCUGUCUUAAAAAGCGGAACAUGCUAACAUGUCAACAGAGAAAGAUCGCACCUUGGAUGAGCAAAUUGAUGUCGUGGCAAUGUUGCCGUUGGCUCAACAUGUAGGUACACCUGUACCAGCCAGCGUCAGAGGUGUUCACAGACUGGAAAACCAAGGGUCCAUCGUUCCUUUCUCUUAUCGAGACUUGCUCCUGUCCCUUUAACUUUGCCCAGGUGAAGUUUGAAGACUCAGAUUUUGGGUUACACUUGAGCGUUAAAGGGUAGCCCGGUGCAGCCAUCACAGCCUGAAGGACUUUGCAAUCUGAAAGGUGAUUAGAUCAAAUAAAUGAAUAAAUACAGACAUUGAUCAAUCAAUAAAUAGAGUACUUUAUAAAAAAAAAUACCUUUGACUUUUAGCUGUAUGUAUUUCUUCUCAAUAAGCUUCCAUCCUUUCCAGACUUCCUCUAUGUAUGACCCAGCAUCCAACUGGCCCGGGUUCUUCAAAAAGACGCACAUAUUUCCAUCUCCAUCUGCUUUCCAUACCACCUUAUCUGUUUGCAGAGACUCACUCGGCCACUCAAAGAUAGUGCUACCAUUUGUGUUGCCGGCAGUCUUCAUCCAUCUGACUCUGUAGGUGCUCAUAUCCACCAGGGUUGAAUUCAAGCAGGAGAGAGAUGCCUCUUCCCCUGGAAAUGCUGUCCGAACGUCAGAACUUGCAGAGACCGCUGUCAAACAGUUACAGCAUGAAGACACAUUAAACAGCUGGCAAAGGUUGAGUUGCUUUAUCCAAUAAUAGAAAAUGAUCCAGUGACUUACCACUGCACUUUGCUAGAAGGCUCAACAGAAAUGAGACUGAGACAAUCAGCUGGAAAUGAAAAUAGGCCAUGGUCUGUGCAGGACGCUCUGACCUGAGACUCAAUACAGCUUCUCUGUUUUGGACCUCUGCUUGGAUUUCUCAGUUCCCUAAGUUCUACAGAAAUCUCAACCUGAAACUAAACCACGUCAACAAACUUUUUGUUUUUAUUUUGGCUCAACAGCAUCCUGAUAACAGGACAAACUAAAAGUUUAUAGCUGGCAUAGGAGCUCAUGUACGAGCAUUCCAGAGGGGAGAGGUCUCCCCAUCACUAGUGAGGUUUUCACUCUAACUGUACAAACUAAAGUACUGCAAACAAAUGCAUGCAAAUACUUGAAAUGUUGACAAACUACGCUUGCCUGAGCGUUUGCAUGUUCCUCAUAUAGAGUUCAACGGUUUAAAAAAAAGUCUGGUGGUGAGCUGACUGACAGACCGAAACAAGCCUCGGCGAACUUUUACACGCAGAUGACUUUCACUGAAGCAUUUUGAGGUUUCAAGGGGAAGAGGAACUGAAGAGUUUUGAAUUCAGCCAUGGGGUACUGCAGACUUCACCAUUUAUUGAAGCAACAGAAGUUGAGUCCAAAGCUCUCUCUUCUGACCUUUGUCAACUGCUAACACUUGACCCUAAAGCUUUGAAACCACUGAUACCUUGCAGAAAUAUGAGAUGGAUGACUAAAGGGACAGUUAUUGGUCAAACUUAUGCACUUAAUUCUGCACAUGGGAUCAACCCUCAACUAGAAAACAUUUAAAAAAG
ensembl:lncRNA